AUAUUAUAUUAUAUUAUAUUAUAUUAUAUUAUAUAUUAUGUAUUGUCAUUAUCUACGUCUUUAUUAUAUUAUAUUGUAUUAUUAUUACAAUAAUAUUAUUGAUUUAUUGGCACCACUAUGAUCGUUACUAAUUUUCGAGCUAUUUAUAGGAAUGAAUGGGGUGUGACAGUACGAGAGUGGGAGAGAGAGAAAGAGAGAGAGAGAGAGAGAGAGGACGAGGACGGGAGAGUAGUUCGGCGUUGACGGUAACGAGCAGCCGAAACACUACUAAGUAGCAACGAGCAAUGCACAAGCAAUCAGUUAGCAAUUAAUUAGUUAAUGUAUCGGAUGGACGCGCGACUGGGGGGUGGACUCUGUACACGAUUCGAAGGGUAGUUUUCUUUUCCUUUCUUUUUUUUUUUUCUUUUCUUCUCUCUUCAGCAAGCCAAUUACUCGAUGCGUCCCUUCGAACGAGAGACGGAAAAAUCAUUUCACCGACGUGCGUACUAAUCUAAACUUGUUGCUACUUUCGGAACGACGCUCCAACUCUAGUCUUGUCUCGAAAGUAGACUCUACCCUUCACUCGUGAGAGUCCCGCGCAGAGGCCGGCAGGGUAAAUUGAAAUUGCGCGUCGAUCGCCGGUCACGCUUGACGGAGAUCAUCUCAAAGAGAGGCGGCCAGACAGACGGCCGGGCAAACAAGCAAGCAAGCAGAGAGAGAGAAAGAGAAAGAGAGAUUCGUAGGAUCGAAAGUAGGAGCGAAUGAGCGCGUGCAUGAAUAGAAAGCAGAGAACGGGAGAGAAUGUGCCGAGAGGAUGAGGAGUGUGCACUGCGUGAAUGCGAGAAACGGACAAAAGACGAGUGGAGAACGAAGCAAUAAAAAGGAGAUACGUAGAAUGGCAACCGCACCAAGGAGAGACCAAACUCUUUCGCUUAACGAAAGAUCGUUACUUACGUACUUGCUUAUUUAUUUUAAUUGAUAAUGUUGAUUGAUCGAUCGAUUGAUUAAUUAAUUAAUUAUUGUAUUUAUUGGCGCGGAAGGCUGAGAGACGCUGUGAUUCGCGGAAAGAGAGAAAGAAAGAGAGGGAGAGAUUGAAAGAGACGAUGAUUAUGCACUAGCGCAAGUACUCGAUCCAAAACCAGCCCCAAACACGAGAAACAAGAACGAACAGAGCGAUAAGGAUUGCGUGCACGAAGGAAUCCUUCGGUCGUUACUUCGAACCCUCCGACUACUGAACCUCAGCGUCCAGUGCUGGAAUCAUUUCUGACUCGUAUUCAACUAAUUCAUAUUUAGGGUCGUCCGGACGACCUCACCGAUACUGUACAGAGUAUAACGGUCGCUCGAGACCGAGAUUCUCAUCGAUAUUAUACCAACACGGUGACAGACACCCGUUUAUAUCAAAACUGUGACUCUGGCACAGCAGACGGAGGGUUAAGAGGCCAGCCACGUAUAUUCCUGAUCGCUUCGAUGAUAGGACUGAAACUGAAUUUGGUGAUCGAGGGUGAGGGUGAAGGGGGUGGAAACAGAGAGAUCGUAUUAUGAUCGUGGGCGCGUGAGUGUGUGUCGAUCCCAUCGUGUUCGACUUUCUGUCUGCUUGGUUCGUUAAACGAGCGCAACGUCGUUUUCCCGGUCUCGACGAUCGACAUUCACGAUUGGUUGGUGAGCUGCCACGCACAAUUCCGCGAUCGGCCAGUUCCGCGAUCUCACCCUCCUUCGUUUUUCGUCUGAAUUUCUUCGUUAACUUGCAAAUGUUGAAAAUGUGGAUCCAAUGGAAACCGUGGCUUUUGCCAUUUUGGCAGACAAAACUCUCUUCGAAGAUAAAAACAGAGAGAAUUUCUUGUUGUUAGUAAAUUUUUAUCGAAUCGUUUACGAAUCGUCGAGCGUGGAGUUCGGUCGAAUUGCGCGGGAGGAGCAAGAUGAAUCCGAUUGGUCGAUUUCGUGGGGCGACUCGAGGGCAGGGGUCUUCUCUUUCUUUCCGCUUUGUUGGAUCUUCUUUCGAAAAAAACAAAAAAAACAAAAAAAAAAAAAAAAAAAAAAAAAAACGGAAACGCGAAAGUUCGCCGCGACGACAAACCGAGUAACGACGUCGGUCCACGUCGGACGAAUUCGCCUCGAGACCGAUUUGCAAACGCGCUGACGAGAACAGAACGGGGGAAGAAGAAAGACCGUGACAAUAUAUACAUAUAUACAUAUAUAUAUACAUAUAUAUAUCUAUAUAUUUGCAAGAUAUUUUGCGAGCAGGGCUUUUUUAUCUAUUUUAUAGUAAUCUCAGCUUAAGCGGAUUGAGAGAGAGGGAGAGAGUGAGAUUGUUUUGCUAAAAACGAAAGAGAGAGAGAGAGAGAGAGAGAGAACGAAAGACAGACAGAGAGAAAGGAUAAAAGGAAUAUAUUUGUGACAAAAUGGAUAGAAAGAGGGAAGAGAGAGAGAGAGAGGGAGGGAGAGCCAGAGAGAGAAAAAGAGAGAGAGAGAGCGCGCUCGAGAGGGAGAGAGAGAGAGAGAUUUAAUACGCAGCUGACAAACGGUUUGUAAAUUGCGUAUAUAAAAGAUAGUUAAAUUAACCGUCGGCUAGAAAAAAAACUGAAGACGGUUUCACUAUGUUGUAUACUCUAUGUUUUAUUUGUUUUGCGCCUUAAGCUUAAUCUGAUUAUUAAUGAUAAUGAUUAUUAUUAUUAUUAUUACUAUUAUUAUUAUUAGUUAUUAUUCAUCAUCAUUAUUACCAUUAUAUCCUUAUCAUUAUUAAUUUUAUUAUUAUUAUUAUUAUUAUUAUUAUUAUUAUUAUUAUUAUUAUUAUUAUUAUUGCUAUUAUUGUGUACAUGGUAUAAAUUGUAAAAAGGAACGUAUUUACUAUAACAUAUUCAUUUUACGGAGGAUUUACGAGAUCCUUCGAAUGAACAAAUUGUUUAAAAUAAAGUGAUGGAAUAAAUACAAUAUUGACCAAUU